GACGAACGCUGGCGGCGUGCUUAACACAUGCAAGUCGGACGAGUGGCGAACGGGUGAGUAAUGUAUCGGAACGUGCCCAGUAAUGGGGGAUAACUGCUCGAAAGGACAGCUAAUACCGCAUACUAUUUGAGCGGCCGAUGUCGGAUUAGCUGGUUGGCGGGGUAAAGGCCCACCAAGGCCACGAUCAGUAGCGGGUCUGAGAGGAUGACCCGCCACACUGGGACUGAGACACGGCCCAGACUCCUACGGGAGGCAGCAGUGGGGAAUUUUGGACAAUGGGCGCAAGCCUGAUCCAGCCAUGCCGCGUGUCUGAAGAAGGCCUUCGGGUUGUAAAGGACUUUUGUCAGGGAAGCGGUACCUGAAGAAUAAGCACCGGCUAACUACGUGCCAGCAGCCGCGGUAAUUC
rnacentral:rRNA from 1 species